rnacentral:rRNA from 1 species
CCUACGGGAGGCAGCAGUGGGGAAUUUUGGACAAUGGACGCAAGUCUGAUCCAGCCAUUCCGCGUGCAGGACGAAGGCCUUCGGGUUGUAAACUGCUUUUGUACAGAACGAAAAGGUCUCUAUUAAUACUAGGGGCUCAUGACGGUACUGUAAGAAUAAGCACCGGCUAACUACGUGCCAGCAGCCGCGGUAAUACGUAGGGUGCAAGCGUUAAUCGGAAUUACUGGGCGUAAAGCGUGCGCAGGCGGUUAUAUAAGACAGAUGUGAAAUCCCCGGGCUCAACCUGGGAACUGCAUUUGUGACUGUAUAGCUGGAGUGCGGCAGAGGGGGAUGGAAUUCCGCGUGUAGCAGUGAAAUGCGUAGAUAUGCGGAGGAACACCGAUGGCGAAGGCAAUCCCCUGGGCCUGCACUGACGCUCAUGCACGAAGACGGUGGGGAGGACGAAACAAGGAGUAGUAUACCGUACGGUAGUACCGACCGACCCGUAACCGAACUAGUCACUAGGUUGGUUGGGUUCGUUC